UAUUGCCCACUGGGGGAAACCCUGAUGCAGCAACGCCGCGUGAGUGAAGAAGUAUUUCGCUAUGUAAAGCUCUAUCAGCAGGGAAGAANGCAAUGACGGUACCUGAGUAAGAAGCCUCGGCGAACUACGUGCCAGCAGCCGCGGUAAUACGUAGGGGGCAAGCGUUAUCCGGAAUUACUGGGUGUAAAGGGAGCGUAGACGGUGAUGUAAGUCUGGAGUGAAAGGCGGGGGCCCAACCCCCGGACUGCUCUGGAAACUAUGUGACUGGAGUGCAGGAGAGGUGAGCGGAAUUCCUAGUGUAGCGGUGAAAUGCGUAGAUAUUAGGAGGAACACCAGUGGCGAAGGCGGCUCACUGGACUGUAACUGACGUUGAGGCUCGAAAGCGUGGGGAGCAAACAG
rnacentral:rRNA from 1 species